CAGUCGCCGCGGUAAUACGUAGGGUGCGAGCGUUAAUCGGAAUUACUGGGCGUAAAGCGGGCGCAGACGGUUACUUAAGCAGGAUGUGAAAUCCCCGGGCUCAACCUGGGAACUGCGUUCUGAACUGGGCGACUAGAGUGUGUCAGAGGGAGGUAGAAUUCCACGUGUAGCAGUGAAAUGCGUAGAGAUGUGGAGGAAUACCGAUGGCGAAGGCAGCCUCCUGGGAUAACACUGACGUUCAUGCCCGAAAGCGUGGGUAGCAAACAGGAUUAGAUACCCCGGUAGUCCCUGUCUCUUAUAC
rnacentral:rRNA from 1 species